rnacentral:rRNA from 1 species
CCUACGGGUGGCAGCAGUGGGGAAUAUUGCUCAAUGGGGGGAACCCUGAUGCAGCGACGCCGCGUGGGUGAAGAAGCACCUCGGCGCGUAAAGCCCUGUCAGCAGGGAAGAAAAUGACGGUACCUGAACAAGAAGCCCCGGCUAACUACGUGCCAGCAGCCGCGGUAAUACGUAGGGGGCAAGCGUUAUCCGGAUUUACUGGGUGUAAAGGGGGCGGAGACGGCAAUGCAAGUCAGGAGUGAAAGCCCGUGGCCCAACCACGGGACUGCUUUGGAAACUGCGUGGCUGGAGUGCAGGAGGGGUAGGCGGAAUUCCUGGUGUAGCGGUGAAAUGCGUAGAUAUUAGGAGGAACACCGGUGGCGAAGGCGGCUUGCUGGACUGUAACUGACGUUGAGGCUCGAAAGCGUGGGGAGCAAACAGGAUUAGAUACCCUUGUAGUC